rnacentral:rRNA from 1 species
CAGUCGCCGCGGUAAAACGUAGGAGGCAAGCGUUGUCCGGAAUUAUUGGGCGUAAAGGGCUCGCAGGCGGUUUCUUAAGUCUGAUGUGAAAGCCCCCGGCUCAACCGGGGAGGGUCAUUGGAAACUGGGAAACUUGAGUGCAGAAGAGGAGAGUGGAAUUCCACGUGUAGCGGUGAAAUGCGUAGAGAUGUGGAGGAACACCAGUGGCGAAGGCGACUCUCUGGUCUGUAACUGACGCUGAGGAGCGAAAGCGUGGGGAGCGAACAGGAUUAGAUACCCCGGUAGUCCCUGUCUCUUAUAC